UUACAACUGUCAAUGCAUUGCAGUCAGUGCAGAAGGCUGUAUAACAGUCCCUAAACAUUUAUUGGUCCAAUUAUUUACGCCAAUAAUUGACGCUUCUGCGAAAAAGCCUAAGUUGAAAGACUUUGGCUUGUUAUUACCGAUUAUUUUGAUAACGGUGACGUCAUGACUCAAAUCUUGGAUCCAAAAUCUGUUUGUCUUUGGCCCACGUUACAUGUCUAU
rnacentral:lncRNA from 1 species